rnacentral:rRNA from 1 species
GUAGGUGGCAAGCGUUGUCCGGAAUUAUUGGGCGUAAAGCGCGCGCAGGUGGUUCUUUAAGUCUGAUGUGAGAGCCCCCGGGCUCAACCGGGGAGGGUCAUUGGAAACUGGGGAACUUGAGUGCAGGAGAGGAAGGUGGAAUUCCACGUGUAGCGGUGAAAUGCGUAGAUAUGUGGAGGGACACCAGUGGCGAAGGCGACUUUCUGGCCUGUAACUGACACUGAGGCGCGAAAGCGUGGGGAGCAAACAGGAUUAGAUACCCUGGUAGUCCACGCCGUAAACGAUGAGUGCUAAGUGUUGGGGGGGUUUCCGCCCCUCAGUGCUGCAGCUAACGCAUUAAGCACUCCGCCUGGGGAGUACGGUCGCAAGACUG